ACCUUUUACUCCUGACCAAUCAGCCAAAACCACCGCCGCCUAUUGCUGCAACCACUGGCCGGAUUGUUCCAUCAAUCAAAUCUUAGGAAGUAGUUUGAAGAGGAGAAGGGAAGUCAUUUCUUCAAAGUAACUAGAAUAUAAUGAUCAACCUGAAGGUGGAGGGGAAGUAAGAUCACUAGAAAGCAGAAUUCUGCCAGACAACCACAGGACCCAAGAGACCUCUACAUGCUGUAACAUGGGCCUGGAUGGUGAGGCACAACUGCUUCUGGCUGCCGUACUGAAUAUUGGGGCCUUCAGUGGUACCUGACGUUACACAGGAUGCACAGACAACUAUGGUUUGCAUGCCCUACUGAAGGACCCUACUGUGCGGAAUAGGUGGUUGUAGUUCGUUGGUCCCCAAUGGUGAUACCUUUAUGGAGACAGCACUUGGGGAGACUUCCAAGAUGAUAUGAUGGAGUCCAGACUGACGAGACAGGCUUGAUGCUGAUGUCUCUGAAUGGAUCAAGACCUUGCACUCAGCAAUAUAGUUAUACAGGACACAUCUAUUUGAAGUCUGAAUCCCGUUUGGGUGAAAGAUCGUCCAUUGACAGACUUGUUGGGGAAUGCUUGGCGAGUUAGCUGGUUAGCCUAGCUAUAAACGUAGCUGGCUAGCUAACUUCAACGGCAAUAACAGAAACACUUAACCGCUAAAACAUAUGGACUCCUGUAAGAAAUCUACGCAGUGGUGAGAAAAGCAUAGAGCUAAAUAUAUCAAAGAAAGUGCCAAUCCAAAGAUGGAUGAAUGAAAAAUAAAUGAAUAGCAAAGUUAACAGCUUACGUGGAUAAAGCCAUCCAGGAUAAUCAUACAGUUUUGCUGACUCAACUGGAAUAAUAACAAGCAGCUACAUGACCACAUAGCUCUUGAAGUUGGACGUCUCCAGACUCGUGUAGAAUUCCUAGAAUCUUGGAGAAUAGGCGCUGCCAAAACAACUAAGUUCCACUAAGACGUGUCUGUCAUAGUUGCAGGACUGCCAGCUGACGAAAACGAGGACCUAAUGUCCAAGGUGAACCAGCUGAUAUUGGUAGGCUGCGAAACAGAGUUGAUUGCAGUUGAGAGGAUGAGGGAGAGAGGUAAAGGUCCCGGGUCGUGAAGGUGGGGUGUCAACCCACGAAGGAGAAAGUGGCGAAUAACAAUAAUAAAAUCCUUAAACCCAUACGUUAUCUCAAUAAAUGAAACAUUUGCGUUGGCAAGAAACUUGAUUUUGAAGGGCAUGCAUGGUAUGGACACAACAGAAAAGUUCCUCUGUCCAAUGUCUGUGUUCUUUUGUCCAUCUUAAUCUUUUCUUUUUAUUGGCCAAUCUGAGAUAUGGCUUUUUCUUUGCAACUCUGCCU